AGGAGGAACAACCACAGUGGCGGCAGCCAACUCUGGAGCCCUGUAUUCAGCCCCCGCAGUAACUAUACAGCUUUCCGUCUGCAGGGGUCUGGAUGCUCCGGGGGCGG
rnacentral:pre_miRNA from 1 species